UCAAAAAUAAAGUAAACUUUGAGAAUAUUUUUGCUUCAUCUUAAUUACAACAAUGUUUUCAUGAUAUUCUGCAAUAUUAUUUUAUUCAUUUUCUUUGUUUAAACCUUGAAGAAAAGAUAAUCUUAAACACUACCGCUAUAUAGCGUAGUGGCCGAUACCCCCCUCACAGUAAAACCGGGAACGGGUGUUAGUUGGUUGCUAAUACCGGAAAACGGGAUUUAUACUAUAAUGUCUAUAUCGAGAAUAGGAGAAAUAGUGUUUGUAUACAAAUAUAUUGUAGUUUCUAUUUUUAGAAGUGAUAAGACAGUGAUCGGCCAAACGUCCAUGUUUUUUUGUUGUUGUUGUUUUUUUUGUAAACAGUGAUGUCUUUUGAAUGGCAUAAAUGUUCUUAAAACACAGAUUUUAUCAAUAUUUUUUAUCAAUGCUGAUCGAAAUUCUAUCAAGCCACCAAAAAUUCUGUAUAUGAAAAAUGUCCCCUCCCCCCUUCUAUAUAAUAACAUGUAACGCAUUUACACCCCAUCCAUGGUGCAAUAACAAGAAAAUUUCAAAAAACAGAAGUGCCAUGUGAACGGGUGGUUCCAUUAUCUAAAGGCAACAAAAAUAUACCCGGAACUAUGCUUACAUGUCGCUGUCACCGUAUUGACUAACAUAAAAUCAACAGUUUUAACAUUUUGUUUGUAGUCAAAGCCAUUGCGUGACGUCACAUGUUUUAGAGAUUUCCUGAAAGAAACCGUGCCAAAUAAGUUUAGACAUGUUGAGACAGCAACAGUCAAGUUACCACACUGUCCCAAUACAUCCUGUAUCCCCACACUAUCGUCAAACACUCGAAAGACCAAAAUAGUUGAAACAAUUUCUGAUGAAAUUUUCAUCGCUGCCAACGCUUUACAUGCUACAGGUUUAAAUGCCGAUUAUAUUCACAAAUUAGUCAUAAAUUCAAAUAAACUUACAUGUAUUGAAAGGGGAUUCAAUUCCUCAAUGAUUUAUGCCAAAAUUAUUAAAUAAUAUCCAAAGUUACUAAUAUUCUUGUGAUUUAAACAUAUGUAUGUACUGUACACGAUUAAAGUUUACCGUGUCUCUACAUGCAAAUAUGCGAAAACGAUAAAACCAAUAACUUUACAUGACUGUGUACUGUGAUUUAUCUUCCAUUGUUUUGGUCCUUCAAAGUUUUGACGUUUAGAUUGCUCGUCACAAAUAUAAAACAAUCUGAACGGCGAAUUAUUUUGGCUAGUAACAUAUAUGCCUCGUGCAGAAAACCUAGGAUUUGUUUUACAAAAACUUUGGUAUGUCUGAAUUUAGUCAGACAUAAGUUUUCAUUAACCUUUACACUGUUAAAUUUCUAAAAUGAACUGGUCCAUCGUUCAAUUUGGACAGUACCAUCUAUUUUUCAAAGGGGUGUUCACUGAAAAUUUACUGACUGAAUAGCGAACAGUGCAGACCAUGAUCUUGGUCUGCACUGGUCACAAAGGCAGAAUCACUUGUCGCUAGCAGGCUAAAGGUUAACGGUUAACUAAUUGUGAAACUGAUUUAAAGUUGUUUACAUCUAAUUUCUAAAAUGCAAGAAAGUAAGUUCUCAAAAUUUAUUUUAUGCAUUGGUGUACUAUUGUUGUGUGGGCUUAAAAUGUAGAUUAUUACAGAGUGGCUCUAAUUUGAAACUUUUUGCUGUUGACAGGUUUCCAUGUUGUCUGCUGUUGGAAAAACAUCUCUGAGGGACUGUGAAUAGAAUCUUUAUCUUCUGCUUAUAUACAACACUUACUCUUGGGCUUGUGGCACAGUUUCUAGCUGUACAAGGAUAUUAUGGUGUUUGAUAAAUUGAUGACAAUGAAACUAAUGACCAUGUUAAAAGCAAACUGGGAGAAGAAACGACAACAUCGUUUUCCAUCUUGAAGGCAUGCCUAGAUAAUUGCUAAGGGAAUAACAAGUUUGAAAGUUCUUGCCAGUCUCUUCAAAUAUGCAUAGGACCAGGAAGAGGAACCUAGGAGUGGGAGAAGUGCCUGUGACUGAUAUGCACUGUCAGGCUCAGAUAGAAAUCCAGUUCAGAAUCUGAAAUAGUGAAAUAGCAGAAAUCAGGAAUUACAUACUGUAUAAUCUGCUCUUAAACACAAACAUUUGAAUUUAAAAUGUGUUAAAUGCAAAACAGUUUUACUUACAAAAUGAAUCUUUCAGUAAAUUCUAAACGCAGCUGAAAAGUGAUAUACAUGAAAUGUGUCAAAACACUGCAAGUUAAGUUUGAUUUUUUGCUGUAGACAAAACUAAAGAACUUGUAUCCAAUUCAUUUUCAGGAUGGGCAUUGGCAUUGUUAUUGGAAUUAUUUUCAGAUAAUUUAAAUUUCUACAAGGUGAAGAAAUUUCAAAUAGUAUCUCAAGAAAAAAAGUUUUAUGCACAAUGAAUUGUUUUUCAAAAAUUUGCAGUCUUUUGUUCAUUGUUUUGCUAGUCCAUUACACUUAAACUUUACUUUAUUUAUUCUUAAUAUUUUUGUGAAUGGAUUAGAUUACUUAUUCACAAGGCAAAAUCAAGAAUUUGUCUGUUAAGGUUAAUGUUGUCUCGAGCUAAGUGAUGGGCAGACUUUAUCCAUUUGUAGUGAUUUUGAGAAUAAUUAAAAUAAUUUGUCACAUAAAUCAAUAUUAAAUGACCUGGCUGAAGGUUAUAUAUAAAAAAAAUGCAUUUCGUUUAGAUUGUUCUAUGUUUAAAUUGUUCUACAUAGAACUUUUUGCAAGAUUUUUUAUUAAAAUCAGUUUCGGAAACUGCAUAAAAGAUGCCGCGAAUUGAACCUUUUUAGCUUGACUAUUUGAACAAUAAGAAUAGUUAUCCUACUCGUUACGACAUCAGCUUUGCGUCACACAUUGGUUAAGUUUUUGGUACCGGUUUACAUUUUGACAAAACCUUUGGGGAUAAAGGUUUGAAACUUUCAACACUUGUAUAUCAUCACCAUAUCCAAUUUUGGA
rnacentral:lncRNA from 1 species